rnacentral:rRNA from 1 species
UUUGGAAAUGGAUUAAUUUGGGGGGGGGGGAGGUAAAGGGGGAUUUCUUUUUUUAGCGGGAGGUGGGGGAGAAUUAGGAGGAACACCCGGAUGUAAGGCGGCUUUUUUGGCUGUUAUUGGCAUUGGGGCGCGGAAGCGUGGGGAGCGAACAGGAUUAGAUCCCCUGCUUUUCACGCCGUAAACGAGGAGUAGUAGGUGUCGGGGGUUUCCCCCCUCGGUGGCGCAGCUAACGCAUUAAGUACUCCGCCUGGGGAGUACGCUCGCAAGAGUGAAAAUCAAAGGAAUUGACCGGGACCCGCACCAGUAGCGGAGCAUGUGGUUUAAUUGGAAGCAACGCGAAGAGCCUUACCUAAGCUUGACAUCCUUUUGACCGAUGCCUAAUCGCAUCUUUCCCUUCCCGGACAGAAGUGACAGGUGGCGCAUGGUUGUUGUCAGCUCGUGUCGUGAGAUGUUGGGUUAAGUCCCGCAACGAGCGCAACCCUUGCUUUUAUUUUCCAGCAAGAGAAGUUGGGCUCUCAGGCCAGACCGCCGGUGACAAAACGGAGGAGGGUGGGGGGGACGUCAAAUCAUCAUGCCCCUUAUGUCGUGGGUUACAAACGUACUACAAUGGUCGCGACAGAGGGCAGCCACACCGCGAGGUGGAGCGAAUCCCAAAACGCGAUCUCAGUUCGGAUUGCAGGCUGCAACUCGCCUGCAGGAAGUCGGAAUUGUUAGUAAUGGCAGGUCAGCAUACUGCCGUGAAUACGUUCCCGGGCCUUGCACACACCGCCCGUCA